CAGAGUUUGAUCCUGGCUCAGAAUGAACGCUGGCGGCGUGCCUAACACAUGCAAGUCGAACGAGAAAUUCCGACUUCGGUUGGAAGAGUAAAGUGGCGCACGGGUGAGUAACGCGUGGGUAACCUGCCCUUGAAUCUGGGAUAACUUCGCGAAAGCGACGCUAAUACCGGAUAUCGUCACGGAGACCUCGGUUUUCGUGAUGAAAGGUGACCUCUUCAUGAAAGUUGCCGUUCAGGGAGGGGCUCGCGUACCAUUAGCUUGUUGGUGGGGUAAUGGCCUACCAAGGCGACGAUGGUUAGCUGGUCUGAGAGGAUGAUCAGCCACACUGGAACUGAAACACGGUCCAGACUCCUACGGGAGGCAGCAGUGAGGAAUUUUGCGCAAUGGGGGAAACCCUGACGCAGCAACGCCGCGUGAGUGAAGAAGGCUUUCGGGUCGUAAAGCUCUGUCAAGUGGGAAAAAAGUCUUACGGUGAACAGCCGUGAGGCCUGAUGGUACCACUAGAGGAAGCCCCGGCAAACUACGUGCCAGCAGCCGCGGUAAUACGUAGGGGGCGAGCGUUGUCCGGAAUUACUGGGCGUAAAGGGUGCGCAGGCUGUUUUGCGAGUCUGCUGUGAAAUACAUCGGCUCAACCGGUGAAUUGCGGCGGAUACUGCGAGACUGGAGUACUGGAGAGGGAAGUGGAAUUCCCGGUGUANCGGUGAAAUGCGUAGAUAUCGGGAGGAACACCGGUGGCGAAGGCGGCUUCCUGGCCAGUUACUGACGCUCAUGCACGAAAGUUGGGGUAGCAAACCGGAUUAGAUACCCGGGUAGUCCCAGCUGUAAACGAUGAAUGCUAGGUGUGGGUGUCGAGAGGCAUCCGUGCCGCAGCUAACGCGAUAAGCAUUCCGCCUGGGGAGUACGGUCGCAAGAUUGAAACUCAAAGGAAUUGACGGGGGCCCGCACAAGCGGUGGAGCACGUGGUUUAAUUCGAUGCAAACCGAAGAACCUUACCUGGGUUUGACAUGUACGUGGUACGGAUCUGAAAGGUGAAGGACUUACUCUUCGGAGUGAGAGCGUACACAGGUGCUGCAUGGCUGUCGUCAGCUCGUGUCGUGAGAUGUUGGGUUAAGUCCCGCAACGAGCGCAACCCCUGCAUUCAGUUGCCAUCGGUAAGGCCGGGCACUCUGGAUGGACUGCCGGCGACAAGCCGGAGGAAGGUGGGGACGACGUCAAGUCAUCAUGGCCCUUAUGUCCAGGGCGACACACGUGCUACAAUGGCCGGCACAACGGGAAGCGAAGGGGCGACCCUGAGCGGAUCCCCAUAAAAGCCGGUCCCAGUUCGGAUUGCAGUCUGCAACUCGACUGCAUGAAGUUGGAAUCGCUAGUAAUCGUGGAUCAGCCAAGCCGCGGUGAAUACGUUCCCGGGCCUUAUACACACCGCCCGUCACACCACCCGAGUUGGGGGCACCCGAAGCCGGUGGCUAAACCCGUAAGGAAUAGAGCCGUCGAAGGUGUGCCUGGUAAGGGGGGUGAAGUCGUAACAAGGUAACCGUA
rnacentral:rRNA from 1 species